AUUGAACGCUGGCGGCAUGCCUUACACAUGCAAGUCGAACGGCAGCACGGGAGCAAUCCUGGUGGCGAGUGGCGAACGGGUGAGUAAUAUAUCGGAACGUGCCCAGUCGUGGGGGAUAACGUAGCGAAAGCUACGCUAAUACCGCAUACGAUCUAUGGAUGAAAGCGGGGGAUCGCAAGACCUCGCGCGAUUGGAGCGGCCGAUAUCAGAUUAGCUAGUUGGUGGGGUAAAAGCUCACCAAGGCGACGAUCUGUAGCUGGUCUGAGAGGACGACCAGCCACACUGGAACUGAGACACGGUCCAGACUCCUACGGGAGGCAGCAGUGGGGAAUUUUGGACAAUGGGCGCAAGCCUGAUCCAGCCAUGCCGCGUGCGGGAAGAAGGCCUUCGGGUUGUAAACCGCUUUUGUCAGGGAAGAAAUCUUCUGGGUUAAUACCUCGGGAGGAUGACGGUACCUGAAGAAUAAGCACCGGCUAACUACGUGA
rnacentral:rRNA from 1 species